rnacentral:rRNA from 1 species
CACAAUCGGGGGGAAACCCUGAUGCAGCGACGCCGCGUGAGUGAAGAAGUAUUUCGGUAUGUAAAGCUCUAUCAGCAGGGAAGAAAAUGACGGUACCUGACUAAGAAGCCCCGGCUAACUACGUGCC